CAGUUCCUGUCUAUCCAUGCGGUCUGCCUCUUGCUCCUGAAAUCUCUAGACAUCUCGCAUCUUACCGAGCUGUUUUCUCUGUCUUAGCCACCGCCCAGCGCCAGGGCGCCAGGGCCUGCAACUGGCCUGAAGACUGAUGGAACUGUCCUUGUGAUGGAGUUGCUGGUUCUGCAGCAGCUACUGCCCUUCUUCUCUUGCAAGCCCAGGUCCAGGACCCUCACUCCCUCGUGGGCUUCUGUUCAGGGAGAGGAUGUCCCUGGCCUGUGUUUGACACUGCUAAAGAAACAGCACACUCAAGACUGUCACGGCCUCAGCAUCCUAUUGAAUGAAGCACUUCGUAACGGUUGGCAUAGCCGGUAGAACAAACAUGUCACCCCUGCCUUGGAAGACCUCCAGUCCCUCUCCUAGAGCCUGCAGGCCUCUGCAGAGUUUACCAGCUCUCAUGGCCCUUGGAGUUCUACAUUGCCAUCACUCACUGGCCACUGUUCCUAGCCAUUCACUCCUCUGCCAUUGGUCCUGGCCUUUCGAGACACCCUUAGAAUGCCUGGUUGUUAGGCUGUCCUGGGAGGAACAGGUAAAGUUGGAGGGUCAAGUGGUGGGGAGGUAGCUCAGUGGUAAAGCACUUGCCUGACCUGUGGGCUAGAGGCAUCCGGAAGAAUGGAAGGAAACCAGAGAGUGGAUCAAAGGGAAGCCUUUGUUGCAGCCACCUUCCAGCCUCCCACCCUCAGUCGAGAGGUUGGUUUUUAAUUCCUGUUGAACGUCUUGGGUGGUUGAAUAUGUUUGUUUAAGAGAUGAUGUAUGUAGCUUAUUGUCUCUGCAGGAUUGUCAGCUGGUGGGUCCAGUGGCCCUAUGUCUUCAAGAAGAAGCUGGGCCAGGACACAUGUAAGGUCUCUCAUGAUCCAGAGGCUGUCAAAGGAGCCAAGCCUGCGGAGUCCAAGACCUUCAGGAAGGCUUGGAAACCAAGUGUGCUGACAUUUCUUAGUUGAUUCUCAGCAUUGAUCAUGGAUGCUGCGGGGGACAGAGAAUGGAGAGUGGGGUCACCCCUCCCACCUGCUCAGAGCACCAUGGAACUGCUCUUCAUCUCAGAAGAAGUGAGAUUCAGCAGUGGAAACCUCCAAGCCUGAGUCUUGAUUGAAGUGCCCCGGAGGACUAUGGACAGGGAAGGCCACUCUGUGCCCACUACCUGUGCCUGGAAUGACUUUUUUAAUAACGGAUAUUUCCUUUGAAUUUGUAACUGCCAUUCACUUUCUGCGUGCAGAUGUGCACUCCCUCCACCCCAAUAAACCUUAUAG